rnacentral:lncRNA from 1 species
CCAAAUUCUUCCUCCCCAAAUCCUACCUUAUCCAUUGUAGAAGAGAAGAAGGCGGACUCUAUCGCACAGUGCAGUGUCAGAUACAGUUCAAACUUACAUUUUUUAUAUCAUUAUUACUUCCUUUUGAAUCUGCAGUACUCACUAGAUCUCUGCCUCAUGUUGUUUGGUUGCUUGGCUAUUUCGAUAGCUGGAAUCUAGAGAAUUUGUAAUGAUUUUCAGCUUGUUCAUUGAUGUGUUGGUGUUCAUUCAUUUAUUAUUUUACUAUGUAUAUAUGUAUUUGUUUUAGUUUUAUGUAAACAAAUUGGCGGUACUUCUAUUCAUCCACAGUUUGAAGCCCUUGAAUUUUUGACUUGCCUAAAAGUUUUGCCUCUUUGCCCUCUAAUCUAUGUCAAAGUUUUGCCUCUUUUAUGUAAAUUAUUGGCAGUACUUUUGUUCAUCCAUGGUACAUCAAAGUUUUGCCUCUUUACCUCUUCAAAAUGUGAUUGAUGAUUUGUUUUUGGUUGCUGAACAUCAAUUCUGUAUGAGGCAUAUAUAUCAAAACUUUUUCAAAGCAGGUUUCAAAGAUAGAAUUUUGAGGGCAACAACAUUGCGGAUUAUUUGAUGUGGAUGUAACAAAUCAGACACUUGUCUAAAAAAGCACACGGUUGAUUGAUGAAAAGGGAUCCAUGGGAAUGGAGCAAGUAUCACUUUUAGGAUAUAGUGAAGAGUGACAUUGUUUUGAAUAAUGGCCACGAGAUUUUCAGUAAGACAUUGGUGGAUGAUAGAGAGAAAUCAAUAAUUACAACGCCAUUCAACUUACCUUCAUGAAGAUUCUACAGGCAAGAAGGGAUAAGAUUAGGGCCUACGAAGGGACCCUAUGAACUAAGAUCAAAAGAAAAUUGGCGAAGAAUACCGAGUUGGUAAAUGGAUGAGACAUUGAUUGGUCUAGAAGACCAAGGUUUCAAGUGAAGAGCGCAAGCGAGCAAUACGUGAUUGACUUGAAACAACGUACAUGUGCAUGUCGAUGGUGGGAACUAACAAAGAUCCCAUGUUGUCACACAGUUGCAGUUAUUAUAGACACAAGAAUUCAGCCAGAGGAUUAUCUGGAUAGCUUCUAUUCAGUGGAGACAUACCUUGCUUGCUACGAAAACAUACUUAGCCCUAUGAACGGAUUUUCUUUGUGGCGAAUUGUGGAUGCUCAUCCAAUCGAAGUUCCUAAUUGGGUGAAAAACAAAGGGGAAAGAGACAAAAAGAGAGAGAGAGAGAGAAAAGGAAGGGGGUUGAAGAAGAUUAUAUUGAACAUCAACAAGGAAAGUCUAAAACUAUUAAAAAAGGGGACAAUGCAAAAUGCAUGUUGUGUCUGUAGCAGGCAAGGGCAUAACAAAAGAUACCAUGCAAGGGUCGAUGCUCUAGUUUUUGUAAGUUUGGUCAACCAUUUCUUCCUCCCUUCUUAUCAUUACUUUUUCCAUUCAGGAGUGGUUCAACACACCCCUGGAGCUAGUUUGUUCUGAAAGAGAGCAGACUCGGGCCGCUAGAAGAAAACUAACUUCGGAUAGAGGAAGUGUCGGAUAGUCCACCCAAUUAGAUUGAUUUCAACAUUCUGGUGGAUUUUUUUGGAUGGUUGGCAGAUGGUUUUCGGAUGUUUUGGUGUAUGGUUUUGGCUAAAAGACAUGCUUGCUAUUGCAUAAAUUGGAUAUUAGUUUACAGGAUGAAUGUAAUUAGUAGAUGAUAAACUUUGGAUACCAACUAAAAGACACGCUUGCUUUUGCAUAAAUUGGAUAUUAGUUUACAGGCUAACAUUUUUACUUUCCAAAUGUCAUUCAUUUAUGGAUGUCUGGGGUUGUUGCAUAAAUUUUGCUGGUAAAUGAGACAUUUUG